GGACUACCCGGGUAUCUAAUCCCGUUCGCUCCCCUGGCUUUCGCGUCUCAGCGUCAGAAAGGGUCCAGGCGCUCGCUUUCGCCGCGGGCGUUCCUCACGAUCUCAACGCAUUUCACCGCUCCACCGUGAGUUCCAGCGCCCCCUACCCCCCUCCAGCCCGGCCGUAUCGGCGCCCCUUCCCCGGUUGAGCCGGGGGAUUUCAGCGUCCGACGCGCCGGGCCGCCUACACGCGCUUUAAGCCCAGUGAUUCCGAAUAACGUUCGCACGGUUCGUCUUACCGCGGCUGCUGGCAC
rnacentral:rRNA from 1 species